AAGGGCGGGCAUAGGAGCCGUGGUUGGGAGAGGCAUUGCACUGUGCUGUGCCUCUCCCAAUCAUGGCUCCUAUGCCUGCUCUU